rnacentral:rRNA from 1 species
UGGGGAAUCUUGCACAAUGGGCGAAAGCCUGAUGCAGCGACGCCGCGUGGGGGAUGAAGGCCCUAGGGUCGUAAACCCCUUUCAGUGGGGACGAAAAUGACGGUACCCACAGAAGAAGGUCCGGCCAACUACGUGCCAGCAGCCGCGGUAAGACGUAGGGACCGAGCGUUGUCCGGAUUUAUUGGGCGUAAAGAGCUCGUAGGCGGUUGCGUAAGUCGGAUGUGAAAACUCGGGGCUCAACCCCGAGACGCCAUCCGAUACUGCGCUGACUUGAAUCCAGUAGGGGAGUGUGGAAUUUGUUGUGUAGCGGUGAAAUGCGCAGAUAUAACAAGGAACACCUAUGGCGAAGGCAGCACUCUGGGCUGGUAUUGACGCUGAGGAGCGAAAGCAUGGGUAGCAAACAGGAUUAGAUACCCCCGUAGUCC